rnacentral:rRNA from 1 species
ACGCACGCUGGCGGCGUGCUUAACCCAUGCCAGUCGAACGGAAAGGCCCUGCUUUUGUGGGGUGCUCGAGUGGCGAACGGGUGAGUAACACGUGAGUAACCUGCCCUUGACUUUGGGAUAACUUCAGGAAACUGGGGCUAAUACCGGAUAGGAGCUCCUGCUGCAUGGUGGGGGUUGGAAAGUUUCGGCGGUUGGGGAUGGGCUCGCGGCUUAUCAGCUUGUUGGUGGGGUAGUGGCUUACCAAGGCUUUGACGGGUAGCCGGCCUGAGAGGGUGACCGGCCACAUUGGGACUGAGAUACGGCCCAGACUCCUACGGGAGGCAGCAGUGGGGAAUAUUGCACAAUGGGCGGAAGCCUGAUGCAGCAACGCCGCGUGCGGGAUGACGGCCUUCGGGUUGUAAACCGCUUUCGCCUGUGACGAAGCGUGAGUGACGGUAAUGGGUAAAGAAGCACCGGCUAACUACGUG